rnacentral:rRNA from 20 species
UUAAGCGACUAAGCGUACACGGUGGAUGCCUAGGCAGUCAGAGGCGAUGAAGGGCGUGCUAAUCUGCGAAAAGCGUCGGUAAGCUGAUAUGAAGCGUUAUAACCGACGAUACCCGAAUGGGGAAACCCAGUGCAAUACGUUGCACUAUCGUUAGAUGAAUACAUAGUCUAACGAGGCGAACCGGGGGAACUGAAACAUCUAAGUACCCCGAGGAAAAGAAAUCAACCGAGAUUCCCCCAGUAGCGGCGAGCGAACGGGGAGGAGCCCAGAGUCUGAAUCAGUUUGUGUGUUAGUGGAAGCGUCUGGAAAGUCGCACGGUACAGGGUGAUAGUCCCGUACACCAAAAUGCACAGGCUGUGAACUCGAUGAGUAGGGCGGGACACGUGACAUCCUGUCUGAAUAUGGGGGGACCAUCCUCCAAGGCUAAAUACUCCUGACUGACCGAUAGUGAACCAGUACCGUGAGGGAAAGGCGAAAAGAACCCCGGCGAGGGGAGUGAAAUAGAACCUGAAACCGUGUACGUACAAGCAGUGGGAGCACCUUCGUGGUGUGACUGCGUACCUUUUGUAUAAUGGGUCAGCGACUUAUAUUUUGUAGCAAGGUUAACCGAAUAGGGGAGCCGUAGGGAAACCGAGUCUUAACUGGGCGUCUAGUUGCAAGGUAUAGACCCGAAACCCGGUGAUCUAGCCAUGGGCAGGUUGAAGGUUGGGUAACACUAACUGGAGGACCGAACCGACUAAUGUUGAAAAAUUAGCGGAUGACUUGUGGCUGGGGGUGAAAGGCCAAUCAAACCGGGAGAUAGCUGGUUCUCCCCGAAAGCUAUUUAGGUAGCGCCUCGUGAACUCAUCUUCGGGGGUAGAGCACUGUUUCGGCUAGGGGGCCAUCCCGGCUUACCAAACCGAUGCAAACUCCGAAUACCGAAGAAUGUUAUCACGGGAGACACACGGCGGGUGCUAACGUCCGUCGUGAAGAGGGAAACAACCCAGACCGCCAGCUAAGGUCCCAAAGUCAUGGUUAAGUGGGAAACGAUGUGGGAAGGCACAGACAGCCAGGAUGUUGGCUUAGAAGCAGCCAUCAUUUAAAGAAAGCGUAAUAGCUCACUGGUCGAGUCGGCCUGCGCGGAAGAUGUAACGGGGCUAAACCAUGCACCGAAGCUGCGGCAGCGACACUUAGGUGUUGUUGGGUAGGGGAGCGUUCUGUAAGCCGUUGAAGGUGACCUGUGAGGGUUGCUGGAGGUAUCAGAAGUGCGAAUGCUGACAUAAGUAACGAUAAUGCGGGUGAAAAACCCGCACGCCGGAAGACCAAGGGUUCCUGUCCAACGUUAAUCGGGGCAGGGUGAGUCGACCCCUAAGGCGAGGCUGAAAAGCGUAGUCGAUGGGAAACAGGUUAAUAUUCCUGUACUUGGUGUUACUGCGAAGGGGGGACGGAGAAGGCUAGGCUGGCCGGGCGACGGUUGUCCCGGUUUAAGCGUGUAGGGGGAGUGACCAGGUAAAUCCGGUUGCUUAUCAACCCUGAGGCGUGAUGACGAUGCACCACGGUGCAGAAGCAGUUGAUGCCAUGCUUCCAGGAAAAGCCUCUAAGCAUCAGGUAACAUUAAAUCGUACCCCAAACCGACACAGGUGGUCAGGUAGAGAAUACUCAGGCGCUUGAGAGAACUCGGGUGAAGGAACUAGGCAAAAUGGUGCCGUAACUUCGGGAGAAGGCACGCUGGCGUUAGGUGAAAGGACUAGCUCCUGGAGCUGAAGCCAGUCGCAGAUACCAGCUGGCUGCAACUGUUUAAUAAAAACACAGCACUGUGCAAACACGAAAGUGGACGUAUACGGUGUGACGCCUGCCCGGUGCUGGAAGGUUAAUUGAUGGGGUCAGCCGCAAGGCGAAGCUCUUGAUCGAAGCCCCAGUAAACGGCGGCCGUAACUAUAACGGUCCUAAGGUAGCGAAAUUCCUUGUCGGGUAAGUUCCGACCUGCACGAAUGGCGUAAUGAUGGCCAGGCUGUCUCCACCCGAGACUCAGUGAAAUUGAACUCGCUGUGAAGAUGCAGUGUACCCGCGGCAAGACGGAAAGACCCCGUGAACCUUUACUAUAGCUUGACACUGAACAUUGAGCCUUGAUGUGUAGGAUAGGUGGGAGGCCUUGAAGUGUGGACGCCAGUCUGCAUGGAGCCAACCUUGAAAUACCACCCUUUAAUGUUUGAUGUUCUAACUCGGCCCCAUGAUCUGGGGUGAGGACAGUGUCUGGUGGGUAGUUUGACUGGGGCGGUCUCCUCCCAAAGAGUAACGGAGGAGCACGAAGGUUAGCUAAUCACGGUCGGACAUCGUGAGGUUAGUGCAAAGGCAUAAGCUAGCUUGACUGCGAGAGUGACGGCUCGAGCAGGUACGAAAGUAGGUCUUAGUGAUCCGGUGGUUCUGAAUGGAAGGGCCAUCGCUCAACGGAUAAAAGGUACUCCGGGGAUAACAGGCUGAUACCGCCCAAGAGUUCAUAUCGACGGCGGUGUUUGGCACCUCGAUGUCGGCUCAUCACAUCCUGGGGCUGAAGUAGGUCCCAAGGGUAUGGCUGUUCGCCAUUUAAAGUGGUACGCGAGCUGGGUUUAGAACGUCGUGAGACAGUUCGGUCCCUAUCUGCCGUGGGCGUUGGAAGAUUGAGAGGGGCUGCUCCUAGUACGAGAGGACCGGAGUGGACGAAUCACUGGUGUUCGGGUUGUCAUGCCAAUGGCAUUGCCCGGUAGCUAAAUUCGGAAGAGAUAACCGCUGAAAGCAUCUAAGCGGGAAACUUGCCUCGAGAUGAGUCUUCCCUGGGGCUUAAAGCCCCCUGAAGGAACGUUAAAGACUAUGACGUUGAUAGGCUGGGUGUGUAAGUGCAGCGAUGUAUUGAGCUAACCAGUACUAAUGAUCCGUGAGGCUUAACCUU